AGAGUUUUGAUCCUGGCUCAGAUUGAACGCUGGCGGCAGGCCUAACACAUGCAAGUCGAGCGGAAACGAGUUAUCUGAACCUUCGGGGAACGAUAACGGCGUCGAGCGGCGGACGGGUGAGUAAUGCCUAGGAAAUUGCCCUGAUGUGGGGGAUAACCAUUGGAAACGAUGGCUAAUACCGCAUAAUGCCUACGGGCCAAAGAGGGGGACCUUCGGGCCUCUCGCGUCAGGAUAUGCCUAGGUGGGAUUAGCUAGUUGGUGAGGUAAUGGCUCACCAAGGCGACGAUCCCUAGCUGGUCUGAGAGGAUGAUCAGCCACACUGGAACUGAGACACGGUCCAGACUCCUACGGGAGGCAGCAGUGGGGAAUAUUGCACAAUGGGCGCAAGCCUGAUGCAGCCAUGCCGCGUGUGUGAAGAAGGCCUUCGGGUUGUAAAGCACUUUCAGUCGUGAGGAAGGUGGUGUAGUUAAUAGCUGCAUU
rnacentral:rRNA from 1 species